CACGUAGGGGCCAAGCGUUGUCCGGAUUUAUUGGGCGUAAAGAGCUCGUAGGCGGUUGGGUAAGUCGGGUGUGAAAACUCUGGGCUCAACUCAGAGACGCCACCCGAUACUGCUCUGACUUGAGUCCGGUAGGGGAGUGGGGAAUUCCUGGUGUAGCGGUGAAAUGCGCAGAUAUCAGGAGGAACACCGGUGGCGAAGGCGCCACUCUGGGCCGGAACUGACGCUGAGGAGCGAAAGCGUGGGUAGCAAACAGG
rnacentral:rRNA from 1 species